rnacentral:rRNA from 1 species
AACGAACGCUGGCGGCAGGCCUAACACAUGCAAGUCGAGCGGCCGUAGCAAUACGGCAGCGGCAGACGGGAGAGUAACACGUGGGAACGCGCCCUUCGGUUCGGGAUAACUCAGGGAAACUUGGGCUAAUACCGGAUACGCCCUUACGGGGAAAGAUUUAUUGCCGAAGGAACGGCCCGCGUCCGAUUAGCUAGUUGGUGAGGUAACGGCUCACCAAGGCGACGAUCGGUAGCUGGUCUGAGAGGAUGACCAGCCUCACUGGGACUGGGACACGGCCCAGACUCCUACGGGAGGCAGCAGUGGGGAAUAUUGGACAAUGGGCGCAAGCCUGAUCCAGCCAUGCCGCGUGGGUGAUGAAGGCCCUAGGGUUGUAAAGCCCUUUCAGCGGGGAAGAUAAUGACGGUACCCGCAGAAGAAGCCCCGGCUAACUUCGUGCCAGCAGCCGCAGUAA